GUGCUCGCUUCAGCAGCACAUAUACUAAAACUGGAGCCACACAGAAAAUUAGCAUGGACCCUGUGCAAGGAGGACAUGCAAAUUUGUGAAAUGUUCUAUAAUUUU
ensembl:snRNA RNU6-680P RNA, U6 small nuclear 680, pseudogene